CUCAGAGUAUAAGCCAAUGGAGCUUGGAAGGCUUCCGCAGAUGGUGUUCAUCAUACGUGGUGUUCUAAGACCUUGAGUGUGGCUCGUCAGGCGAAGCAUUUUAGUAUGCCGACCAGCUGUUGUGCGGGGGGUUCGGCUUGGAGGUCUUAGGCUUCGGCCGAAGGACUUCCGGCUGUCCCCUUUUGAAUAGACGUUCAGAGCUCUUGUGUCUAAUGCGGUUAUGCCCACCACAGCACGUUGUGAGGUCACCCACAGGCUCAAACUGCCGAUCGCGCAUCCAGGACGAUGGCAACGAUGCGUUGUUGAGGAUGGCUCGAGAGAGUCUUCACUCACACGCGUGUCUAGUCCUGGGUCGGGCGGCGACCGAGAUAAACCUGGUAUGAUCCUCUUGCGACGAGCUGCUUUCUGGCCAGACCGACGCCCAGGCGCCUCCACUGUGCCGGAAGCGCCAAUCCCAGGCGGUGUGAACCCAGCUGCAUUAUGCAAGGUCUCUCAGCCGGGCGUUGGUCUGAGUGGUGUUAAGUCCAGCACCAUCGGUCACGUCUCGAAACACGGGCCAAGGAGUAUAGCAUGUGUGCAAGUCUAAGGGUCUCACAAAACCCGAAGGCGAAGUGAAAGCAAGACUGUGGCGGGGGAGCUACGGCAAACCCGCCGGCCUAGUGGCGCGUGCGUCGCCUGGCUUUUAGCAGAGCUGAUCCUGUUUUCUCGGUUAAUUCUUGGUGCAGGCGCAAGCUCCGGGCUCACGUACAACACUGGUCACGCCUCGCG
rnacentral:rRNA from 1 species